rnacentral:misc_RNA from 1 species
UGCAGAUAUGCUGUGAGGUGUCGAGUGCGGAUCAGGGGCCGGGGAUCGCCCGGUCGCUUGAUGAGUCGGGGGCUGUGAUUGUGUUGGGGGAUGUUGUGCUACUCCGUCCGGAUCAGGUAGCCAAGGUGAUCCAGAGCCUGAUUACGCCGCCGACUGCUGCCGUCCCUCAGUGUGAUGGACGGAGUAGUGAGCUACGGGAGAUGGAAGAGAAGAAGGCGGUGAUCGACAAGAAGGCAACUGACCUGGUGAGGACGG